rnacentral:lncRNA from 1 species
GUGAGUGCCUGGAACAGAUCAACCCUGGAAAAAAUAUUGGAGCGUGUGCAACAGGAAUCCCAUUUGAGUAGAAGUUAAAACUUCAUGUCUACACUCAUUGGCUAAGACGUCCGACCCACGAGUUUCUUCUGUCUGUGAGAAAUAUAGCCCAGAGCACAUGAAUCAUGGCAUGACAACCUGCACUGGAGGAGCUCACCUUUUCUGAAAGAGCCAUGAAUCAAAGGGGAUUGCCUAAUGGAUGUAGUAAUUAAGGAGGAGCUGUUCAAUAUCAGACACAUGCAGCUCUUGCACCUUUGUCUUCUUGGAACUGGACACUUAAAUCAAUCAAGGAGUCAUCUGCAUCCUCACAUCAUCAUCCUCUUCAGUUUUGUGCCCUCCACAGGGUCUCUGCAAUGGAGUGGACCUUUACACCUAUCAAUAAUUAGCUGUUCUUCUUCCCACCAUGGGGAUUCCCUCCUCCUGUCUGCGAUGAAAGGGAUAUUCCCGGCCAAUCCCUGCAUAUAUCCUAGCUGGCCCAUUUCUCAGCCAAUUGGGAGGAGGUGUGGAAAGUCUGAAUAGCUGUCAAAAGUUUAUAAAAUGUCUUGUAUUUUAUUGUGAAGGUAUGCUUAUACAUUUUGAGCAUUGACGCAGUACUUGCAUCCCUUUUGGCCAAACUGUAAUAAACCUUGAUAGUAUGCCUUCAGACUCAGAGUGUUUUGUUCUACAUUCUGGCUGAUCUGGUUUAGUGGAAUCUUAUCAGAUAUGGACCAUCUUAUCUAUGGUCCUAGCUGAAAUCACUUCAGAUAGACUGUGAAUGCAUCCAUACCACAUCUGCACUACUUUGGAGUAGUGCUGGGCUGAAAUUAGACUAAACCUCCUGAGGUCACAAAUAGGGUUUUAGCGUUUCAAUUUCCAGGUAAGGUAAUUAGGAUUGUUGUUGUGUGUCUUCAAGUCAUUUCACAGAUGAUCCUAUCACAGAUUUUUCUUAUCAAGAUAAAUUGAAAGAGGCUUUGCCUUUGUCUUCCUCUGAGGCUGAGGGAAUGUGAUUUGCCUAAAGUCACCCAGUGGAUUCAAAACUAUAGUCCGAGGUUAAAACCACUACACCACAUUUUCUGAAUUCUUUAUUUUUCUUUCUUUCUUCCCUCUUCCCUCCUUCCUUUCUUCUCUAACUUUUCCUACUUUUGUUUAUUUAUGUAUCCUACCUCCCUUACUUUUUUCCUCCCUUUCUUCAUUUUCCCCCUCCCUCCCUGUUUUGUUCUUUUCUUUACUUUUUUCUUUCUCCCUCCCUCCCUGUGUUCCUCCCUCCUUCUCUUCCCUCCUUUUCUACCUCUUUCCCUCCCCUUCCCUCUUUUUCCUGCCUCCCUGAUCAAGAAGGCAGGCAGCAUCAGUGCAUCAAGCUAAUCUUCAUUGGGAAUAUCCUCACUGUAAAAGAACGUGCAGAUAAAAAAUAGGUUUCUACAGUCACCUAUGGAUCCACCGCCAAGACCUUACACUUGGAAAGUAAUCAUAUGCAGCAAUGAAUUAUAGCCUAUCACAAUGACGAUGAAUAGACCAUUCAAUGAAUUAUUGAAUGGUAAAUCUACAUAUAGGUAAAUCCUAUUGAUUCAGUGGGCCUACUUUAAGUAAGACUACUAACAGAAUUUCAGCCACUUAAGAAUGGAGCCCCCAGAUGGCAUAGUGGACUAAGUGACUUGAAGGUUGGGUUGCUGACCUGAAAGCUGCCAGGUUCGAAUCCCACCUGGGGAGAGUGUGGAUGAGCUCCCUCUAUCAGCUCCAGCUCCAUGCGGGGACAUGAGAGAAGCCUCCCACAAGGAUGGUAAAAACAUCAAAACAUCCGGGCGUCCCCUGGGCAACGUCCUUGCAGACGGCCAAUUCUCUCACUCCAGAAGCAACUCCGGUUGCUCCUGACACGAAAAAAAAAAGCCACUUAAGAAAUCAUUGUGAGCUCUUCUCUAACCAUAAAUAAACUUCAAUCCAAAAUAAUAAGAGAAACUGAUCCUCAAAAAUCGGUAACAAUAUGUCCUUCCAACAAUCAAUGGACUUGAGGAGAAUCUUAUUUCCAGCACUCUUUCUUUUGAUCUUCCUUCUAUUUUCUCCAUGAUCGCAAGACCAAAUUGUUCAAAAAGCAACUUAACAAAUUUGUAAGAAACUGUGAUCGUACCCAUGUUCUCAGCUUUUUAUGAAUCUGGUUGCUUAAUCAUUUAGGCUCUGGAAAGACUGGUUCAGAAAAUACAGUGAAACUCCCCCCACCCCAUUGCAGAAUUUAUAAAUGAUUCCUGGCAAACAAUAGCACAGGCAUUUCUAACGGUAUCAAAUAUAUUAAAGAUGUGGAGAAAUUGAGAUUUGUUUAAUUCUGAAUCCUAACACUAUGGGUGGUUCCAAACAGCAGUAAAGUCUGCUUUGACUCGGGUUUUAAAACCCCGAGUCCGGGUAGACUGUAAUCUGCACACCACCAUAAAACACCACGCUUUCUGCAGGCACUGUCUACAUGUUGUCCCAUUACAUACCAGGAGAACAGGAAGUCAGCCUCCAUCCCUCCCCUCCCCCCUGAAAAACCCCAUUUUAAAAUAAAAGAACUUACCCAGCCUCCAUUUGUGUGGUGCCAAAGCUCUCCUGGUGGGUAAGAAUGAUGUGCCAACAGAAGGGGGGCAGGAGUAAUUCCCCCCCCCUUUUUUUUUUCCUGGUGCAUAAUUCCUAUGCUCCAGGAGUGCUCCGCCACCACGCUAAUGGAGGCUGGGUAUAUCCUUUUAUUUUAAAAAGGGGUUUGGGGGAGUUGGGGAGGGAGUUAGAGCCCUCUUGCAUUUCCCAGGUCUGAUUCUGCCUGGAAAACACAAGACAGCUGUGUGGACAGUACCUUCAGAAGUCCCAGGACUUCUGAUUGGCCAGCCCAGAUAGUGACCAUAGUGGGUUUACCUUACGCCUUCCAAGGAGGUGCAGAAAAAAUUCACUAACAGAUUAAUUUGCUACAAAACAGGGUUUUCCUGCUUUAUGGAGAAAGCAUUCACGAUUUUGUGGGGCAUCAUCUGGAUGCCCCCCAUGAAUAUCCGGGAGGGCGCACAUUUUGCACCCUGUUUGGAUGCACCCUAUGACCUGUACAAUAUUUGUGAGUUAUGUAUUUCCACAAUUUACAAAAAACAAAACAACUAACCAGUACAAAGUGAAAUCUAGAAUACAGAAUACUCGUACAGUAAAAACUGAAUAAAUCUGCUGGUGGUGUAGGUGGGAUGCAAAGUGAUAUCAUAUCUCAGUCAGAAAAUAUUAGUCAUGUUCAUGCAGGAACUGUUCUCAGAGUAUCAUAGUAGCUGGAAAAUUAUUCCAGCUUGGAACUGUAUGUAAGUACAGUAUGACCACCAUAUCCAUGGGACUAAUACUUGUGAACUCACUUACCUAUGAUCUAUGCCUGCUGCUACCAGGCAAAAUCCUUCCUGACCUUUUCCAUCUCUUUACUCCAGCAGGAGUAUGUUUUUUCUGAUAUCAGAGGAUUUUUCACGUGCAUUCAUUUUCAGGAAAAAUGAUAUAAAGGUUACACUCAUCCACUGUGAAAUCAGAAUAAUAUUUUUGUGCAACCCAGUAGUGGUCUUCUCAUAUUCUUAUGUACAGUAUAAACUUUUGAUCCUCUCUUAAAUACAUUUCCUGCUUAAGUCCUGGACUGAAUUUUGACACUUUAAGAACAGCCUUUAAAACAAAAAGCAACCAUUUUGUAACCCCUAAAUCAAAAACAUAAUGGCUGGAAUUCUUAUUUCAUUCACAGAAUUAUUCUUCAAGCUAAACAGAGUCGAGGCUGAUCAUUUGGUUAGGGAGAACAUUGCACCCAAGCUGAUUCAUUAGGUGCUGCUGCUUUGAGAUUGUUUAGCAAAUCAUUCCAGAGUCAGGAGAAGGAAGGUAUUUUUUCCACUAAUGACAAAUAAAACUAAGAUUAAAAAUACCUGUGAAGUUCUUUGAUGUUAUAAAUAUGAAUUGGGCUAAUUUCAAAAUAGUUUGGGUGUAACUUUAGUUAGAUGAUACAUCAAUGUACAAGUUCCAUUUCUAGAAAGUACUAGAAAUUUCAGUUGAAAUUAUAUGUCACACCUCUGCAUAAUUCAUAUGUCCACAUAAUUGAUAAAACACAAUAUUUGGACAUGUAUAGCCUAGAUAUUCUGGGGGCGGGGUCCACAAAAAUGCCUAGUAAUGGGUAACUUGAAAAUGUAUGGACAGUGUAAUGAAAAUGAGGACAGAC